CCAUUACUGUGACUUGUUGUCUGAAACAGUGACUGAAGAUGGCAUCUCCCGCCUGUAUGAAGCUUUUCAGGAAGUGCCUUUGACAUGUGACAGGACCACAGGGCACAUCCUCAAUAGACAUUACAAAUGGCUGCAGAAGCUUGGAAAUCUCGUGUCGGGUUCCGCAUUCGACUAGGGAACCGGGACCGACACAGAAGACCUCUUUGUCCUGCUAUGACAUCUAGAGGCUAACAGGAGCCAACCGGCCCACCACUGAUCACAUCUCUUGGGAGACGGCAAAGCAGCUGCUGCAUGGGAAGGAGGAGAGAAAGAGGCAGAGC